rnacentral:rRNA from 1 species
GUAGAACGCUGAAGAGAGGAGCUUGCUCUUCUUGGAUGAGUUGCGAACGGGUGAGUAACGCGUAGGUAACCUGCCUUGUAGCGGGGGAUAACUAUUGGAAACGAUAGCUAAUACCGCAUAACAAUGGAUGACACAUGUCAUUUAUUUGAAAGGGGCAAUUGCUCCACUACAAGAUGGACCUGCGUUGUAUUAGCUAGUAGGUGAGGUAACGGCUCACCUAGGCGACGAUACAUAGCCGACCUGAGAGGGUGAUCGGCCACACUGGGACUGAGACACGGCCCAGACUCCUACGGGAGGCAGCAGUAGGGAAUCUUCGGCAAUGGGGGCAACCCUGACCGAGCAACGCCGCGUGAGUGAAGAAGGUUUUCGGAUCGUAAAGCUCUGUUGUAAGUCAAGAACGAGUGUGAGAGUGGAAAGUUCACACUGUGACGGUAGCUUACCAGAAAGGGACGGCUAACUACGUGCCAGCAGCCGCGGUAAUACGUAGGUCCCGAGCGUUGUCCGGAUUUAUUGGGCGUAAAGCGAGCGCAGGCGGUUUGAUAAGUCUGAAGUUAAAGGCUGUGGCUCAACCAUAGUUCGCUUUGGAAACUGUCAAACUUGAGUGCAGAAGGGGAGAGUGGAAUUCCAUGUGUAGCGGUGAAAUGCGUAGAUAUAUGGAGGAACACCGGUGGCGAAAGCGGCUCUCUGGUCUGUAACUGACGCUGAGGCUCGAAAGCGUGGGGAGCGAACAGGAUUAGAUACCCUGGUAGUCCACGCCGUAAACGAUGAGUGCUAGGUGUUGGAUCCUUUCCGGGAUUCAGUGCCGCAGCUAACGCAUUAAGCACUCCGCCUGGGGAGUACGACCGCAAGGUUGAAACUCAAAGGAAUUGACGGGGGCCCGCACAAGCGGUGGAGCAUGUGGUUUAAUUCGAAGCAACGCGAAGAACCUUACCAGGUCUUGACAUCCCGAUGCUAUUUCUAGAGAUAGAAAGUUACUUCGGUACAUCGGUGACAGGUGG